AGAAUCAACGCUGGCGGCGUGCCUAACACAUGCAAGUCGAACGAGAAAGUGGAGCAAUCCAUGAGUAAAGUGGCGCACGGGUGAGUAACACGUGACUAACCUACCCUUGAGUGGGGGAUAACCUAGGGAAACCUGGGCUAAUACCGCAUAAUACCUUCGGGUCAAAGGAGCAAUUCGCUUAAGGAGGGGUCGCGGCCGAUUAGUUAGUUGGCGGGGUAAUGGCCCACCAGGACUGUGAUCGGUA
rnacentral:rRNA from 1 species